rnacentral:rRNA from 1 species
AGUGAACGCUGGCGGCAUGCCUAACACAUGCAAGUCGAACGGACUUUGGCAGUGUAUCGUCAAGGUUAGUGGCAAACGGGUGAGUAAUACGUGAAUAACCUCCCUUCGAGUGGGGGAUAACUCCGGGAAACCGGAGCUAAUACCGCGUGAGACCACGUCCUGGCAUCAGGAUGAGGUUAAAGUCCCGCAAGGGACUCUUGAAGAGGGAUUCACGGCCUAUCAGCUAGUUGGCGGGGUAACGGCCCACCAAGGCUACGACGGGUAAGCGGUCUGAAAGGACGACCGCUCACAAUGGCACUGAGACACGGGCCAUACUCCUACGGGAGGCAGCAGUGGGGAAUUUUGCGCAAUGGGGGAAACCCUGACGCAGCAAUGCCGCGUGGAGGACGAAGGUCUUCGGAUUGUAAACUCCUUUUGCGGGGGACAAAUAGCGGCGUGAAUAACGCCGACUGAUGGUACUCCGUGAAUAAGCCACGGCUAACUUCGUGCCAGCAGCCGCGGUAAAUGACGUCAGA